AAUCCAUAAUGUGGGCAUUGUCUGAGCAUGUUAUUGUAUCUAUCCCAUGCUUCAAAUAAAGAUUUUGAGUUUGACUGUCUGAAACUUGCAAUAAAAUUUCUUAUAUG